CGCAACGACCGUACCGCAAACCGACACUGGUGCGCGAGAUGAGUAUUCUAAGGCGCUUGAGAGAACUCAGGAGAAGGAACUCGGCAAAUUGACACCGUAACUUCGGAAGAAGGUGUGCCCUAUUAGUGUGAAGUGAACAACGGAGCAUGAAUGGGUUGCAAAAAAUCGGUGGCUGCGACUGUUUAUUAAAAACACAGCACUCUGCAAACACGAAAGUGGACGUAUAGGGUGUGACGCCUGCCCGGUGCUGGAAGAUUAAAUGAUGGGGUGCAAGCUCUUGAUUGAAGUCCCAGUAAACGGCGGCCGUAACUAUAACGGUCCUAAGGUAGCGAAAUUCCUUGUCGGGUAAGUUCCGACCUGCACGAAUGGCGUAACGAUGGCCACACUGUCUCCUCCUGAGACUCAGCGAAGUUGAAAUGUUUGUGAUGAUGCAAUCUCCCCGCGGAAAGACGGAAAGACCCCAUGAACCUUUACUGUAGCUUUGUAUUGGACUUUGAACAGAUCUGUGUAGGAUAGGUGGGAGGCUUUGAAGCAGGGUCGCUAGAUCUUGUGGAGCCAACGUUGAAAUACCACCCUGGUGUGUUUGAGGUUCUAACCUAGGUCCAUUAUCUGGAUCGGGGACAGUGCAUGGUAGGCAGUUUGACUGGGGCGGUCUCCUCCCAAAGCGUAACGGAGGAGUUCGAAGGUACGCUAGUUACGGUCGGACAUCGUGACGAUAGUGCAAUGGCAUAAGCGUGCUUAACUGCGAGACUGACAAGUCGAGCAGAUGCGAAAGCAGGACAUAGUGAUCCGGUGGUUCUGUAUGGAAGGGCCAUCGCUCAACGGAUAAAAGGUACUCUGGGGAUAACAGGCUGAUACCGCCCAAGAGUUCAUAUCGACGGCGGUGUUUGGCACCUCGAUGUCGGCUCAUCUCAUCCUGGGGCUGUAGCCGGUCCCAAGGGUAUGGCUGUUCGCCAUUUAAAGAGGUACGUGAGCUGGGUUUAAAACGUCGUGAGACAGUUUGGUCCCUAUCUUCCGUGGGCGCUGCAGAUUUGAGGAAGCCUGCUCCUAGUACGAGAGGACCGGAGUGGACACACCUCUGGUGUAUCGGUUGUCACGCCAGUGGCAUUGCCGAGUAGCUAAGUGUGGAAGAGAUAACCGCUGAAAGCAUCUAAGCGGGAAACUCGUUUCAAGAUGAGAUCUGCCGGGGCCUUGAGCCCCCUGAAGAGUCGUUCAAGACCAGGACGUUGAUAGGUCAGGUGUGGAAGCGCAGUAAUGCGUUAAGCUAACUGAUACUAAUUGCUCGUGCGGCUUGACCA
rnacentral:rRNA from 1 species